AACGCACGAGACCUGCGGACCUGCGGAGGGAUCAUUAAAAAUGCGGCCGAGUUUGUUUUAUAUGAACGAGGUCAAACUUUUGUUCUGUGCACUGUUUUAUUUUUUGGCUGGGAAUUUAUUCUCGGUCAAUUGGCUGGGGAAUUUGCUCUUUCCUUUGGGAUAGAGUCGAAUUUCCCAGUGUUAUUAUACUAUUCUGACUGAACCAAAACAGAAAAUCGUUUAACUAAAUAACAACUUUCA
rnacentral:misc_RNA from 1 species